UUCAAGGGUAAAUUUGACAGUGUAGAAGACUUGUCAAAAAACUCCAAGCCCCUGUACUAUUAUAGCCAGAAAAGAAGUUCAUUUAAUUCUU